CCAAUUUACAGAUAAGGAAGCAAUAUCUAAGAGAUUAACUGAUUUGCUCAAAGAUGUGCCCAGGAAGUAAAAGGCAGAAGGAAGCAGGACAAAGCCUGCCCCGUGUACUUAAAUGUCAGUGCUUUGUCCCUUUUAUAUCCACAUCUAUUACACUAUAUCUGUCCUUCCACCAUUAAAUACAAAUUUAAGGAAGGCAGUGUUGAAAUUUUGUAAUGAAAGACCCAGAUGGUAGCCAAACUGUGGAAUGAUUACCUUGGUAGCUGAUAUAGUAGUCGUUUGUUCUCAUAAAAUUUAUCUUACCUCCAUUUGUGUUGGUAUAGAUUGCUUAGAAAACAUCAAGAAGUAUUAUCACAUAUCAUCAUCUGCUGAAAAGAAAACUAACAAAACUAGUUCCAUCAUAAAUAACUCUAAAAACGCCAGAAUCGGCUUGCUUACCAUUUUGGAUACACUGACCUCAAAAGAAAACUUGUUGGAGAAAUUAAAACAGAUUAAAAUAACAGAUAUCCAAAUUUUGAAUGAAAAGGAGGUGUGCGGAGGACCAGGGAACCUGUCGUGCAGCCUCUCGCCCUGUGGGGGCGCUCUCUGCACGGGCCCCGGCGGGCGCAGGCGGUGCGGCGGGCCUAGCUGUCAAGGCGCCCUGAUGCUCGAGAGCGACGCGCGCGGAAAGGCCCAGGAGGCGGAGUCUGUGAGUCAGAAUCUGGACAACCAGGCCCAAGGGCUGAAGAAUCGGAGGAAAACGUGCCUCCCGAGGACAUACAGAAGGUCGCGAAUCAUGUCCUUGACAUCCACCUACCAAUAA
rnacentral:lncRNA from 1 species